rnacentral:rRNA from 1 species
GGGGAAUAUUGGGCAAUGGGCGAAAGCCUGACCCAGCAACGCCGCGUGAAGGAAGAAGGCCCUCGGGUUGUAAACUUCUUUUAUCAGGGACGAAACAAAUGACGGUACCUGAUGAAUAAGCCACGGCUAACUACGUGCCAGCAGCCGCGGUAAUACGUAGGUGGCAAGCGUUAUCCGGAUUUACUGGGUGUAAAGGGCGUGUAGGCGGGACUGCAAGUCAGAUGUGAAAACUAUGGGCUCAACCCAUAGCCUGCAUUUGAAACUGUGGUUCUUGAGUGAUGGAGAGGCAGGCGGAAUUCCCAGUGUAGCGGUGAAAUGCGUAGAUAUUGGGAAGAACACCGGUGGCGUAGGCGACUAGCUGGGCUGUAACUGACGCUGAGGAACGAAAGCCAGGGGAGCAAAUG